AAUGAUAAAGUCAUAUUUCGAUUGCCUUUUUUGGUUUUUUUUUCUCUCCUUUACAUUGUCCCCCAGUUGGUCUCCUCUGUUUGGUGCUUGCGAUGAAGUGUGAAUGUUUGUGCUGAGUGUGGGUGUGAAAUGCCUUUGAAAAUCCUUGAGCCUUUGCAAAUAGCAAGAUGAAGUGUAAAAUAAUUCUUGAAAUUGACAAAUAUUUUAGCUAAGGAAAAUAAUGAAGUUGUGUAUUAUG